ACGAAGGACUUGAACAUUGUAAACACAGUUUCAAGGUCGAUCCGUGCCGGGGCAAUUUGGGUCAAUUGUUACUUCGCUUUCGACAGAGAUUGUCCUUUCGGAGGAUAUAAAAUGAGUGGGUUCGGCAGGGAUAUGGGAUUGCACGCUCUGGAUAAUUACCUGCAAAUCAAGUCUGUUGUCACCCCCAUAUAUGGAUCUCCUUGGCUAUAAAAUGAUGAUGAAAGAAGAAUUAAG
rnacentral:misc_RNA from 1 species